AGAGUUUGAUCAUGGCUCAGGACGAACGCUGGCGGCACGCUUAACACAUGCAAGUCGAACGAGAGAAGAGGAGCUUGCUUUUCUGAUCUAGUGGCGGACGGGUGAGUAACACGUGAGCAAUCUGCCUUUCAGAGGGGGAUACCGAUUGGAAACGAUCGUUAAUACCGCAUAACAUAAUUGAACCGCAUGAUUUGAUUAUCAAAGAUUUAUCGCUGAAAGAUGAGCUCGCGUCUGAUUAGCUAGUUGGUAAGGUAACGGCUUACCAAGGCGACGAUCAGUAGCCGGACUGAGAGGUUGAUCGGCCACAUUGGGACUGAGACACGGCCCAGACUCCUACGGGAGGCAGCAGUGGGGAAUAUUGCACAAUGGAGGAAACUCUGAUGCAGCGAUGCCGCGUGAGGGAAGAAGGUUUUAGGAUUGUAAACCUCUGUCUUCAGGGACGAAAAAAGACGGUACCUGAGGAGGAAGCUCCGGCUAACUACGUGCCAGCAGCCGCGGUAGUACGUAGGGAGCGAGCGUUGUCCGGAAUUACUGGGUGUAAAGGGAGCGUAGGCGGGAUCGCAAGUCAGAUGUGAAAACUAUGGGCUUAACCCAUAAACUGCAUUUGAAACUGUGGUUCUCGAGUGAAGUAGAGGUAAGCGGAAUUCCUAGUGUAGCGGUGAAAUGCGUAGAUAUUAGGAGGAACAUCAGUGGCGAAGGCGGCUUACUGGGCUUUAACUGACGCUGAGGCUCGAAAGCGUGGGGAGCAAACAGGAUUAGAUACCCUGGUAGUCCACGCCGUAAACGAUGAUUACUAGGUGUGGGGGGACUGACCCCUUCCGUGCCGCAGCAAACGCAAUAAGUAAUCCACCUGGGGAGUACGACCGCAAGGUUGAAACUCAAAGGAAUUGACGGGGGCCCGCACAAGCAGUGGAGUAUGUGGAUUAAUUCGAAGCAACGCGAAGAACCUUACCAGGUCUUGACAUCGUAUGCAUAGCUCAGAGAUGAGUGAAAUCUCUUCGGAGACAUAUAGACAGGUGGUGCAUGGUUGUCGUAAGCUCGUGUCGUGAGAUGUUGGGUUAAGUCCCGCAACGAGCGCAACCCUUACUGUUAGUUGCUACGCAAGAGCACUCUAGCAGGACUGCCGUUGACAAAACGGAGGAAGGUGGGGAUGACGUCAAAUCAUCAUGCCCCUUAUGACCUGGGCCUCACACGUACUACAAUGGCUGUCAACAGAGGGAAGCAAAGCCGCGAGGUGGAGCGAACCCCUAAAAGCAGUCUUAGUUCGGAUUGUAGGCUGCAACCCGCCUACAUGAAGUCGGAAUUGCUAGUAAUCGCAGAUCAGCAUGCUGCGGUGAAUACGUUCCCGGGCCUUGUACACACCGCCCGUCACGCCAUGGGAGUCGGUAACACCCGAAGCCUGUAGUCUAACCGCAAGGAGGACGCAGUCGAAGGUGGGAUUGAUGACUGGGGUGAAGUCGUAACAAGGUA
rnacentral:rRNA from 1 species